rnacentral:rRNA from 1 species
UACGUAGGGAGCGAGCGUUGUCCGAAGUUACUGGGCGUAAAGCGCGCGUAGGCGGGCUGUUAAGUGAGAGGUGAAAGGCUGGGGCUCAACCCCAUGCAGUGCCUCUCAUACUGGCGGUCUUGAGUGCGGCAGGGAGAAGUGGAAUGGCUGGUGUAGCGGUGAAAUGCGUAGAUAUCAGGAGGAACACCGGUGGCGAAAGGCGGGUCUCUGGGCCGAUACUGACGCUGAGGAGCGAAAGCGUGGGGAGCGAACAGG